rnacentral:lncRNA from 9 species
CUCUUCUUUCUAAGUUAAACUAUUAGAGUUUGUUUACCUUUGUUUUUAUCUUGAUUUUUCUUUCAUGUUCCAACUUCCUGAAAUAGUUGGCAGAAAUUCAGGACUCUUGGCUGCUCUGGGAAUGUAGGUGGAGCUUAUCAACUGAGUCUGUGUUGUGGAAACAAAAAGAAAGCAGGCCAAUGAUGUUUCUGGACGCUCAGUGCCCCACGGAGAGGUCUUUGCUCUGGAGGAACUGAUGUCCAAAUACUCUGCCUUAGGCUCAUGAGAUUUGAAGACAUAUAGACAACAUGGAUUUUGGUCUUUCCAUGUCUAGUCAAGGAAAGCAUCAAGACUGGUCCUAUGGAAAUUUCCUUGGAGAAUUGCCUUUGAGGGGUGGGAAGGAUUUACAUAAGUGGAGUAGAAGUGGAAAGACAGUUUGCCUUAGUCAUAAAAGUGUGUGUAUAAGCACAAAUACAGCAAUGUGAAAGACUGUAACAGAGACUUCUGAGUCGAAGAUGGGCAGAAGUAAAAGUCUGAUGUUGUCCUCACGUGCUCUUAGAGUGGUUCUUCUGUGAAGAUACUUUUCUGGACACUGGAAAUAUAGGUGUGGACAAGACAGACAACGUAUGUAUUUAAGAUAAAGGAAAGACCUAAUACAGACAAAAAC